rnacentral:lncRNA from 1 species
UGGGAGGGUACGGAUUAUUUUUAUAAGCAAGGAGUGUGACAUCUAUUUUUAGAGGAGAAAGAAUUUCGUUACAAAGAACUCUCCUAGUCCCCUCCCAGAGUGGAUGGGCUGAGGUGCGGGGGAGCAGUAGGCCUGGAGGACUCCCUGAAGAGGUGGCCUGGGGAUUCCUGGCAGAGGGAACGGCCUGUGCAAAGGCCUGGAGACACGCGACUGAAGCGCGCCUAACAACAGCUACCAUGGAUUCAUGGGCAGGCGCCUGUACACGCAAUCCUCACGGCAGCUCCAGGACACUGGAGUUAGUGCUCCUGUCUCACAGGAAAGGAAACGUUGGCUCAGAAAGGUAAAGAAACUUGCUCGAGGUCACGCAGCUAUAAGGAAACCGAAGCACAGAGAGGCAGGUCAUCUGGCUGAGGUCACGCAGCCACACGGCGAGAGAGCAGUGAAGCUGGAGUUCCAGCAAGCUCCACCUGGUGAGAAUUCAAGCCCUGCCAUGGGCCACCUCUCUGGAGGAAGAGAAAGCCAGCUUCAGACUCUGCCUCUCUCAAUCCUUAUACAAGGCCAGAGAGCGCUUGAGGCUUCCAGGCACUCCUAUGCUUACACACCUUCCAUGGCUCCCAGCUGCCCUCCAGAUAAAGGACAAACUCCUCAGUGUGGCCCUUGAGGUCCUGUGAUCUGGCCUCUGUCCACCACCAGGGCCCCCCUCCUGCCAGAUCUCUGAGCCUUGGCCACGCUGACCUGCUUCUCUCAGGGCCUCAACAGGGCCGAUCUCCAUCCCUGCUGUUCCCUUGGUCCAGCAUGCUGUUCCCCUCUAGUUGCUUCUCCUUACCCUGGGGGCCUCCACUCAAAUGCCACCUCCUCCACUGGCCGGACGCUGCCAUUAACCUGCUCGAGUGCUCUCCCUGCAAAACUCAGCACAGGCCGGGCACAGUGGCUCACGCCUGUAAUCCCAGCACUUUGGGAGGC